UACGUAGGGUGCGAGCGUUAAUCGGAAUUACUGGGCGUAAAGCGUGCGCAGGCGGUGCUGUAAGACCGAUGUGAAAUCCCCGGGCUUAACCUGGGAACUGCAUUCGAGACUGCAUGGCUUGGGUGCGGAAGAGGGAAGCGGAAUUUCCGGUGUAGCGGUGAAAUGCGUAGAUAUCGGAAGGAACACCAGUGGCGAAAGCGGCUUCCUGGUCCGACACCGACGUUCAGGCACGAAAGCGUGGGGAGCAAACAGG
rnacentral:rRNA from 1 species